AAUAAACAUUGGCACAUAUUCUAAGAUAGAACUAUUUUCCUUUUCACUUGUGAGAGAAUUACAGGCCAUAUUUAUAAAAUCAGAUUUUCAGAUUUGCACAGAUAGACAGUGCACCCUGUGAAUUUUUGCUGAAGUUGUGACAGAAAUUUAGAAUUUUUUGCUCAAAGCUAUAACUGCGUGCGUGUGGAAAGGUGCUAUCAUUUUUACUACAUGUGGUGAACUAUGUGCCUGUCUGGACACGCCCCCUGCUGACUGCUCCUGUGGCUCCUCCCACAGGCCCCUGUAUAAAGGCGAUCUGAGGCCUGACGCUCGGCCUCAGUCUACAGGACAUUGUAUGAUAGACACUCACUCCUGGUUCCUUCUUCCAGUCAAUAAAAGCCGAUAUCUCGCCUUACGUCUCAGUGUGAGUUAUUGAUGGCGCAUCAAUACGUAAUGAUAAUGAUGACAAAAUAGAAUCUUGCACAAAUUCUCACAACCAAUUGACAGUAUUCCACUGACAAAUUUGUUUCAAGGACCUGACUGCAGCCUGAAUGUUCUGGAUGUACUUCCAGAUAGAAAUUCAAAGUCCUUAUUGCAAUGUUAGAUAACAGUUAGCCAUUUAUAUCGGGUACUUCUCUAAAUCUUGCAAGUAUUAUUGUAUACACAUACUACACCUGCUGAACUUGUCAGAAUCAGAAUCAAGUUUAAUAUCAUGAAAUUUGUUGACUUUACUGCAGCAGUAUAAUACAUGAUAAAUAUAGAAAAAAUUGAAUUACAGUCAUUAUAUGUAUCUUAAAUAGCUAAGUUAAAAUAAAUAAUACAAAAUCAAUUUUUUUAAAAAAAUAUUGAGCUGGUAUUGAUGGGUUCAAUGUCCAUUUAGAAAUUGGAUGGCAGAGGGGAAAAAGCUGUUCCUGAAUUGUUGAGUGUGUGUCUUCAAGCUCCUGUACCUCUUUUCUAAUGGUAACAAUAAGAAAAGGGCAUGUAUUGGGUGGUGGGGGUCCUUAAUGAUGGUUGCUGCCUUCCUGAAGCACUGCUCCUUGAAGAUAUCUUGGAAACUAUGGAGAUUAGUACCCAUGAUGGAGCUGACUAAUUUUGCAACUUUCUGCAAUUUACUUCAAUUCUGUACAGUAGCCCCCACCAAUACCAGAUGGUAAUGCUGCCAGUUAGAAUGCUCUCCAUGGUACAUCUGUAGAAAUUUGUGAGUGUUUUAGGUGACAUAACAAAUCUUCUCAAACUGUUAAAGAUGUAUAGCUGCUGUCUUGCCUUCUUUAUAUUUGCAUGAUAUGUUGGGACCAGGCUAGGUCCUCAGAGAUAGUAAUACCCAGGAAAUUGAAAUUGAAAUUUUGAUCCCUCUAUGAGGAUUGGUUUGUGUUCCCUCAUCUUAGCGUUCCUGAAGUCCACAAUCAGCUCUUUGGUCUUGCUGAUGUUGAGUGCAAGUUUGUUGCUGCAACACCAGUCCAUUAACUGGUACAUCUUGCUCCUGUACACCUUUUCAUCACCAUCUGAAAUUCUGCCAACAAUGGUUGUAUCAUCAGCAAAUAUUUAGAUGAUAUUUGAACUGUUCCUAGCCACACAGUCAUGGGUGUAGAGAGAGUAGAGCAGUGGCCUAAGCACACAAUCCUGUGGUGCACCAGUAUUGAUUGUCAGCGAGGUGGAGAUGUUAUUUCCAUUCUACACAGAUUGUGGUCUUCUGGUUAGGAAGUUGAGGAUCCAGUUGUAGAGGGAGAGGUACAGAGGCUCAGGUUCUGUAGCAUUUCAAUCAGAACUGUUGGGAUUAUGGUGUUAAACACUGAGUUAUAGUCAAUAAACAAUAUCCUGACAGAGGUAUUUGUAUUAUCCAGGUAUCCAAGGCCAUGUGGAGACCCAUUGAGAUUGUGUCAAUAGACCUAUUGUGGCAAUAGGAAAAUUGCAGUGGAUUCAUUUCUUGCAGAAUCUCCAACUACUUUUCUCUGUCUCAGCCCAGCAAACCCCAAAGCUCAGGCCCCAACCCCAAUCUCCUAAACACAUGAAUUUAAGAUUCAUCAAGGCCUCAAACUUGACUUUUUUACACCACCAUCCAAUUACUGAUUGGAGCGUUCCCUUUUGAGCUCUCCUUGACCAUUACAGCAAAUGUUCUUGCUGCCUUUUCCCCAACCACAGGGGCAUAGGACACCAAUGCAAUCUCCAUUCCUCCACCAUUCACACCCAUCCUAACAUGGAGAGUAUUUCUAAGGGAAUUUAUCGCAAUAACAUUACUUGUGAACUGAAACUGCAGUUAGCUACUGUAUUUGAAUAAUGAUAUUUACUGUAUUCUGGCAUCUCUCGGUGACUUGCAUCAGUGAUAUCAGUCCAUAAAUGGUCUUCACCUAAAAUGUCAACUGUUUAUUUCCCCUACAAAUGCUGCCUGACAAACUGAGGUCCUUCAGCAUCUCAGGUUUUGCUCCAGAUUCUAGCAUCUGCAAUCUCUUUUGUCUCCGUCUUACAUCAGUGGUAUCUAAGCCCUGUUGCUAUAAAGAGGGAUGCCUGUACACCCAUUUUCUUUUUUAGAUCUGUUACGUAAUCAUUUAAGAUUCUUCUUAAAAGGGAAUCUACAAUAAGUUUGAAGAUUUAAGACACUGUAAUCUACAGAAAAUGGAAAGAGAAAUUAUUAAGUUUUAGUAUUGUGUACAGUUCAGCAACAACUACCACAUACUUUACUUCAAUGUUUAAUAUGGAAAAAUCUGCUUUGACAUAUUUAAUUACACAAAUUGUAAGAUACAAACUGUCAUUACUUCUAUUGAUAUGAAAUUCUAAUGGAAGCGAUCGAAAGUUCAUUGGUGUAUUAAAGAAAAGGAAUGGAAAGGCUGUAUAAAGUGUAAUUUAUUUGGGAAAAUGAUUACACCUGAAAACCAGCAUGCUACAAAUUUGACAGCAAUUCACCUGCGAGAGUUUUCUUUGCAUUUACUCAAAUUACAAAAUGGCAGAUAAACAUGGAGACUCAACAAGAAUGAUUUCAAUGAAAAACGUGCCUAAUUGCCACCUCAAUUCAUGAUUUGAUGCUGUUUUUCCAAAUAUCAGCCAACACAAUUUGAAAUACCAAUCACUGUACGAAAGAGCAACUUUAAGAACAAAAAUUGAUGCAGUGCAGGUCAGGAAUACAGAUUUUCUUUUGAAACUUCCCAGACAACAUGUACAAGUCAGUUGACAGUGUGACAGAUAUUGAUGAGGCUGUACAUUUCUUUUUUUUUGGUAAUUUUUUUAUUGAAGUUCAUCAAAUAUUUCCAUAAGAUGUAUAUCAGACAUUGUACAUACACAUCAUAUAAUCAUAUAUAUCACAAAUCUCCACAAAGUAUUUAUCUGAGGUAUACACUUAUAGAAAAGAGUGGAAAGAAAAAACAAGCAAAAGGAAAGAACUAUGUACAAGUAGGGAGUGAUUUUUUUUUACAACAGAUUCAUUGAUUUGUGAGAAUAAAAUCAGGCCUAUGAGGCAUUAUGUAGUUAAACCAUUUUUCCCAGUAUGAAUCAAAUUGUUCCAGCUUAUGAUUAACAGAUGCUGUUAUCUUCUCCAUUUUGUAAAUGUCCAUUGUAAUUUCCAUCUAUGUAUUUAAAGUUGGGCUCUCCUGUGAUAACCAUUUCCUAGUAAGAGUCUUUUUACCAGCCACCAACAGUAUAUUCAUUAAAUAUUUAUCUCUUUUCAACCAUUCUUGAGGUAUAUAUCCAAAAUAUAUGGUCUUACUCUCCAAGGGUAUUUCACAUUUAAAGAUGUCUUGUAGGGCAUUGUGUAUCCCCCUCCAAUAGUUUUUGAUAACAGGACAGUCCCAAAAAAAUAUGAUAAUGAUUUGCAUUUUGAUAAUGGUAGUAGAAUCAUUUCAAGCAUGUAUAAGGGGUUGUCAAAUUUUAAAACACAUUCGACUUCAUACAUUAAAACAAAAUGGGAGAAGGAAGGAGGGAUAAUUAUAUCUGAGAAAGAAUGGACAACAAUAUGGAGAUAUCAAUGGAAGUGUACCAAUUCACAGAGUUUGGAUGGAAAAACUUGUUAAGAUAUUUUAUUACACCCUCUCAGAAAUCCCAUUAUGAUAGUAACCUCCCCGUUUGCUGGAGGCUGUACAUUUCCUGUUGAAUUUUUUAAACUUUCUGUCGCCAAGAAUAUGUUUCCUUAAGUAAUUUUGAAUUAAAAGCAGUACAGGUACAAGUUCAAGUUUAUUGUCUUUCAACUGUACAGAUGUACACUGCCAAACAAGAAAAUAUUCCUCUGGACCAAGGUGCACAGUACCGUACAUAUAACACACACAAAUAACACAUAAGGUAAUAUUACCAGAAAUAAAUUAACGUUAUUCAUUAUGCCCACACAAUAGAAGUUAAAAAGUAAACUGUACAACGCUACUGGUGCUUCAUAUGGGAUGAGACCAGGACGGUGGCAGGGAGUUCAGUAGUCUUAUGGUCUAGGGCGGGGGUCGGCAACCUGCGGCUCCCGAGCCAUUUGUGGCUCUUUCACCUCUGUGCUGCGGCUCCCUGUGGCUUUGGGAAAUAAUUGGUCAGUAUUUAAUUAAAAUGUAUUUUAUGUUAGUUUGUUAGCUUUUGAAAUGUAAUUAUGGUGAUCUUGUACAACCUAAGUGUAGCGACACAUUUCCUGCCACAUCCGAAACGGCUCACAAUUAGCCAGCAUUCCGGCUAAGGGAGAUAGCCUACGGGGGUUUGUGAGUACGCGUCUUUUGCAGCAUCUGCGUCCAUGGGGGCUGGGUUGAGGGAGGCUUAAAAGCAAGGCUGUUUAGUUCGAAUAAAGCUAUCUUUGACUGCAGUUUACUGACACCGCUACAACGUGUUUUUAUCGCUGGCUGUCCAGACGGAAGGUGCUGAAACGCUUUGUCGCGUGUCUGGAAGAAGUGAAAACUUUCCUGGGCAGCAAAGGGCUCACCUUUCCUGAGCUGGAACAGCCAGAGUGGCUGGAAAAGCUACACUUCAUGGUAGACAUGACAGCGCACCUGAACACGCUGAACACAGCUCUUCAGGGGAAAGGACGUACAGCCCUGCACAUGUUGGAGGAUGUUUUGGCAUUCGAGCGCAAGUUGACAGUGCUUGCCAGAGAUUUACAGAAAGGCACUUUGUCUCACUUCCCCAAUUUGAGAGAGUUCAAACAAGGUCACGACAUGAUAAUUUCGGAGUAUUUACAUUCUGCAAUCAUCGCAAUGCAAACAUCGUUUGGGAAACGCUUCUGUGAGUUCAGAGAGGAAAAAAACACAUUAUCCUUCCCGGUCACUCCCUUAAGCAUCGAUCCUUCCCUACUGAAUACGACUGCAUUGGCAGGUGUGAGUCAACCUGAUCUUGAGAUGGAACUGGCCGACAUAGCCGACAAAGACAUAUGGGUGUCCAAGUUUAGACGCUUGACAGCAGACCUUGAAGAUGUUGCCCGUCAGAAGGCCGUUCUUGCUCAGAAACACAAAUGGAGUGAUAUUGAAAACCUCACAGAUGACAGCUUGCGAUCCUGUGUAAAGAUGAAGGUGACAUCAUACAGCCCUGAUGUGCAGACGCUGUGCGCUGAGGUCCAGGAGCAGAAAUCCCAUUAACCAAGAUGACAGCUGGCUGACGUUAUUUUUGGUUUGCUGCUGGCGGAAAAUUUAAGUUCGGCGUUUUUCAUAAAUACAAGAAGGACUCAAAUAGACAUUGAAUAUUUUACUUAAAAGUAACUUUCAACCCAACGUCUUUUUUUCGGAGUUCAAAAUGUUUUUGUUGCAUGCAGAAAUGUAAUUUCGUUUUCUCUGCAGGAGUUCAUCAAUUUCAUAAAUGCAACACAUUAUAGUUUGUUUAUACAUAGCAUAAAGGCAAAAAAAAACGUUGUUUGCAGUGUUAUUUCAUUUUAAAUGUCAAACGGGUUUUGCGGCUCCCAGUGUUUUCUUUUCUGUGGGAAACGGGUCCAAGUGGCUCUUUCAGUGGUAAAGGUUGCUGACCCCUGGUCUAGGGUAAGAAGCUGUUUCCCAUCCUAACAAUUCUUGCCCUAAUUUUACAGUACCUCCUG